UACGGGGGGUGCGAGCGUUGUCCGGAAUCACUGGGCGUAAAGGGCUCGUAGGCGGCCAACUAAGUCAGACGUGAAAUCCCUCAGCUUAACUGGGGAACUGCGUCUGAUACUGGAUGGCUUGAGAUUGGGAGAGGGAUGCGGAAUUCCAGGUGUAGCGGUGAAAUGCGUAGAUAGUCUGGAGGAACACCGGUGGCGAAGGCGGCCUGCUGGGCAGUUUAGCUGACACUGAGGCGCGACAGCGUGGGGAGCAAACAGG
rnacentral:rRNA from 1 species